rnacentral:rRNA from 1 species
UACGUAGGGUGCAAGCGUUGUCCGGAAUUAUUGGGCGUAAAGAGCUCGUAGGCGGUCUGUCGCGUCGGCUGUGAAAACUCGGGGCUCAACCCCGAGCCUGCAGUCGAUACGGGCAGACUAGAGUGCGGUAGGGGAGACUGGAAUUCCUGGUGUAGCGGUGAAAUGCGCAGAUAUCAGGAGGAACACCGGUGGCGAAGGCGGGUCUCUGGGCCGUAACUGACGCUGAGACGCGAAAGCGUGGGGAGCGAACCGG